GACGAACGCUGGCGGCGUGCUUAACACAUGCAAGUCGAGCGGAAAGGCUCCUUCGGGGGUACUCGAGCGGCGAACGGGUGAGUAACACGUGAGUAAUCUGCCCUGUGCUCUGGGAUAGCCACCGGAAACGGUGAUUAAUACCGGAUAUGACCAGCUACUGCAUGGUGGUUGGUGGAAAGUUUUUCGGCACAGGAUGUGCUCGCGGCCUAUCAGCUUGUUGGUGAGGUAAUGGCUCACCAAGGCUUUGACGGGUAGCCGGCCUGAGAGGGUGACCGGUCACACUGGGACUGAGACACGGCCCAGACUCCUACGGGAGGCAGCAGUGGGGAAUAUUGGACAAGGGGCGGAAGCCUGAUCCAGCAACGCCGCGUGAGGGAUGACGGCCUUCGGGUUGUAAACCUCUUUCAGUACCGACGAAGCGAAAGUGACGGUAGGUACAGAAGAAGGACCGGCCAACUACGUGCCAGCCGCCGCGGUAAGAC
rnacentral:rRNA from 1 species